UCUGUGACGCUCUGCCUGGGACUUGGAUCUUUCGUCUUCACCAGUAACCGGGCGACCCAGACGAGGAACAGCAAUGGGAAAGUGAAAGACGGGACUACUGCCGGGAAUGAGGCCGGUCCCAACAGGUCCCUUUAUGUCAGUUGCAGGGAUCAGAGCCCGCCGGGAGUGAGAUUGCUUAGGCAUCUGAGCGUUCUCUUUUUAUUACUCUCUCCCAGGGGAAAGUAAAUAUAGAAGCAGCAUUUCCUCUCGAAGGUUUGGCGGAGAUCGGGCCAGUACCAGAGAAGGCAAGAGGCUUUUCCAAAGGGAAGGGGUCAGCGAGGGAGGGGGGAGGGGGGAGCGCCCGCACUCCCUGUACUCCCUUUUCAAAAGAACCGCAAUGGAGACUUGUUGACCGGCCCCGAGGCUCCGAGUGCGGGGACUAAGCUGAGCACUGGGCGCACCCGGGACGGCCCGCCCACCAGGGUUUGGAAGAGAUCCUGGCCACCGCCAAACCCAAAGCUCGCCCAGCUGCGCACUGAGCUAAGCCCAGCGGCCGGGACGCCUCCAGGAGCUCCACCUGCCGGGCACUCCGUUUGGCCCCCAACCCUCGCAUCUCUCCCUUCUUGGGGUGGGGGAGCAGAGAAGGGGUCGGAGAGAAACGGCGACCCGAACCGCUGGACGUUUGGGGAGGACCUAGCCCGGAGUGGGUCUGCGCGUCCACUCUACUGUCCAAGCGCUUUGCCCCGAGCAGGAAGCCCCCAGCCCGGCGCCGCGCCCGCGCGAAAUGACCCAACAGCCCUCCCCUUUUCCCCCAGCAGCUCCGCACGGUUCCCACGUUCUUUGGGGAUUCCUUCGCCCCAGGCAUCUCUCCCGCUCGGAGGGACUGAGGGUGGAGUGGGGCGCCGGACGCACCCUCUCUCCUGCAACAGGACCAACGCCACAGGUUGGGGAGCGCUGUUUCCAGCGUGCCCAGGAAACCUGGCCGCCUUGGAGGGGUGGCGCCGGUUCCAGAAGGAAGCUCGGCGGUGACUCUGACUCUCCACCCUGCACUGCCUCCAUCCAGCAAGAGCCACACUGAACACUUAAGGAAGAUUUGGCAGUGGCUGUUUUCUAAAAGACUUCUUAAUUCUUCCCUGGAAUAGCAGAUGUGGUGUUGGUGUUUGGAGACCUCCCUCACCCGGUCCCAGCAGCAUAAGGACAUAUUUUUCUUAGUUGUGCUAGCAUCUAAUGUGGAUGGCGCCCUCCCCACAAGCAAGGCAUGCUGCUAAGGAGCAUACAUCAUCACUGCCUUUAGUUUCCCCCAUAAACCUGUGUCGUGGGUAUGACUGUGAUAUCUAUCAUGGCGGUGAAGAAGCUACAGCUUAAAGAGGUUGAGCAAUUUACUCAAAGUCACACAGCUAGAAAAGAGCAGAGCAGGCUUUAAACCCAGAGCUGUCUGCUUCCAAAUGUGUAUUUUUUUUUUUUUGGAGACAAGGCCUUGGUUUGUUGCCCAGGCUGGAGUGCAGUGGCACCAUCUUGGAUCACUGCAGCCUCAAACUCCUGGGCUUCACAUUGAUCGUUAGAGAAAUACAAAUCAUAACUGCAGUCAGAUGCCAUACUGUCAGAAUGGCUAUUAUUAAAAAGUCAAAAAAUAACAGAUGCUGGCGAGGUUGUAGAGGGAAUGCUUAUACAUUGCCAGUAGGGAUGCAAAUUAGUUCAACCAUUGUAGAAAGUAGUUUGGUGAUUUCUGAAAGAACUUAAAACAGAACUACCAUUCAACCCAGAAGUCCCAUUAUUGGUUAUAUACCCAAAGGAAUAUAAAUGGUUCUACCAUAAAGACACAUGUACAUGUAUGUUCAUUGCAGCACUACUCACAAUAGCAUAGAUAUAUAAUCAACCUAAAUGGUCAUCAACAGUAGACUGGAUAAAUAAAAUGUGGUACGUGCACACCAUGGACUAGUACACAGCCCUGAAAAAGAACAAGACCAUAUCAUUGGCAGCAAGGAUGUGAAGGAGCUGUAACAAGACCAUGUCCUUUUCAGCAAGGAUGGAUGCAGCUGGGGGUCAUUUUCAUAAGCAAACUAAUCAAACUAAUGCAGGAACAGAUAACCAAAUACCACAUGUUCUCACUUUUAGGUGGGGUCUAAACACUGAGUACACAUGGACACAAAAAAGGAAUUGACAGACACCAGGGCAUACUUGAGGGUGGAAGGAGAGUGAGGAUUGAAAAAUUAUUGGGCAGUACGCUUAUUCCUGUGUGAGAUAAUCUACGUACCAAACCCCUGUAACACACAAUUCACCUACAACAAAUUUGCACAUUUGUCUGUGAAAUAAACGAAAAGUUUUAGAAGAAAAAGAAGAAUAAUCAGAAAAUUAAAUAUUUUUUAAAAUAUAUUUAAAGUAAAACUGGGAUGUGUUGUGUUAAAUGAAAUAAAAUGUUUAGGCCAGGUGCGGUGGCUCAUGCCUGCAAUCCUAGCACUUUGGGAGGCCAAGCCGGGCAGAUUACUUGAGGUCAGGAGUUCAAGACCAGCCUGGCCAACGCGGUGAAAUCAUGUCUCUAUUAAAAAUACAAAAAUUAGCUGUGCGUGGUGGUGCACACCUGUAAUCCCAGCUACUCGGGAGGCUGAGGCAUGAGAAUGACUUCAAUCCAAGAGGUGGAGGUUGCAGUGACCUGAGAUCCUGCCACUACCCUCCAGCCUGGGCAACAGAGUGAGACAGUUUCAAAAUCAAUAAACAUUUAAAAUUUUAAAUGAAAUAAAAUGUUUAAAAACAAACAAACAACAACCAAAAUUCCUCCUGGGCUUCAGUAAUCCUCCCGCCUCAGCCUCCCAAGUAGCUAGGACUACAGGCACACAGCAUGACACUCGCCUAGUUUUUUGGGUUUUUUAAAAAUUUAUUAUUUAUAGAGACGGGGUCUCCAACUCCUAGGCUCAAGUGAUCUUUCCACCUUGGCCUCCCAAAGUGCUGGUUUAUAUGUGUGAGCCACCAUGCCAGCCACAAAUAGUAACAAAAUUUCUUGGCACUCAUAGGAAGUGCCAAGCUAUUUGUUACCAUCUCAAGGGGCACACAGCCAGCAGAUGCUCUCAUAAGACAGAAACACAAGGGAUUCUGGGAACCCAUAAGAGGACGCUGAAACCAGCCUGGAGAAGCCCAGUUCCCCUAGGAAGAGGCAAUGGCUGUGCUGAGUUCCAUGAGUUAGAUGAGUGUGAUGAGUUGGCUGAGUGUGAUGAGUUUGAAUUAGUGAGGUGACAGGGGAGGUACAUUGAGUGCAGCCUCUAGUCAGAAGGGACAGUGGGGACAGAGGCAGGGAGAUGAGUCCUUUCAGCAUCAAACAGCUCUGUUGCUGCAGCAGAAAGGGGGAAGCCAGGCGUGAAGCAAGUGAGGCUGGAGAGGUGGGUGCAGCACUGCUCCAGGGCGCAGAGUGCUGAGCUGAGGUCAAGGAGAUUAGCAGCACCGAAGAGUGUGGGUGCCCCGGCGAUCCCCCAGGGCUUGAGAGCAGGGGGAGCACAGGAGGCUGUUGUACCCACCAGGUGAGAAGUUAUGGGUUUGUGGAAAAGUGGAUGGGGAAGAGAGGACUGAUGGCAGAAACAUCUGAAAGUUGUGCCUGAGCAGAGUGUGAGGGAGGAGGAAAAGCUGAGGCUGACUCUGCAGUUUCCAGCAAUUUCAGUGGUUGGCUGAACGGCAUCACCCAGCCCUCAUAUGUAAGGCCUGCUGUGUGCCAGGUGUCACCAGGAACUGCAGAGCAUGAGGAAGGCAAACAAGUCUUGUUCUCCUGGGCUGCUUUGGGGGUGGGGAUGGGGACAAAGAGAAAGAAAAGAUGAGCAUCAUUGAGCCAGAGACUCAGAGGUGGCUGCAGGUUGGGGAGUUGAAGAAGGUGAAAGGCCCAUGUUGCCCCCCGGGGAGUUAGAGCUCUGGGUCUGUAGCCUAGAGCUCAGCCCCUGACAUCAGCCAGUCGUCCAUGUGGGCCUAGCUCAGAAGGGUUCAAGAAAUAGAAAAGUCAGAGGCUGCGGCAAGAAUGCUGAGAGGGAAGAGGAGAGGGAAGAGCUUUCUGCGGGCUCCGGGCAAGCUGGACCUGGAGAGUGGGGCAGGACCGAGGGCAUCUUGUCUUCUUGUGUUCUCUCUCUCUGCUUCCCUUUCUUUCUUCAUCUUGCAAACGGCCCUGCCUGGCCUCCACCCUCCAUUCUACCAGUGUCGAGAGACUACUAGCAAUGGGCCCCGGUUGCCUUUCACAUUCUCAGGGUGAAUCUGAUGGUGUAGCUCUUCCUUUUGAAGCAGGCCUCAAGUCUCUGGUCCCAGUCCUAGCUGUCAUCAGGGGCCAAUGAGGCCAGGCGACAAGGUCCCACUCAGCAGCCGUUUGCUUGAGCUGACUGUCCCACCGGGGUGGCUAGGACCCAAUUGUGCUAUCUCUGUUUCACAGAUGAGGAAGCAAAGAAGUUAAGGGACUUGUCCAAAGUCUCAAAUUAAGUAAUCUCUCUUUCAAAACUAGGACUCAAAAAUGAAGUUUCCUGACUCCAAUUUCCUGUGCUUUAACAGAGCUUUUAGUUCAGGCUGUCCCAGGGCUCCAGCUGGACAGAGCUUUACCCCAGCAAACCCUUUGGUGGUCGCCUCCCUGAGCACUUCCUGUAACUGCAGCCCCCUCCCUCCAGGCUGGGGACAGCUCAGUAUCUCCACUUUGCCUGCCCCGUCUGCCCCUUUCCUCACUGGCUCCAGCCUCUUUAAUUGCCUCUUCCCUAAAUCCUCUGUAGUUUAUUGAUGGAGACUUGGCAAAUCCUGGAGUCUCUAGACAAACAAAAAUCAAUCAGAAAUGUAUGCAGGGUGAAUUCAAAACGGGAAUUCACUGCCUUUUCCAAGAACAAAACUGAAAAAGAAAAAAAACCCAACACUUAAAACCAUCAAUAGGAAUCUUGGGCCUCUGGAAGCUCAGCACUGUUUCCUCCUCUCUAAAACCUGGGUACAAUUUAACCCCUUGUGGCUUUGCAACAUCCACACAGGACUCAUUCACAUUUCGAUUCAAAUUCAUUGGGUUUUAUAAAUGUCCUUAUUACAUUCCUGUGACGUAGAGUAAACAAAAAAUAACUUUCUAGAGACCCAUGUAAUUGAAGAUCAAAGAGCCCAAGAAAGUCAGUUUUGGAAGUGGCAGAGGUAGGGCACUUUUAUUCCGACCCUGCUUUCAUACAGAGGUUGGUAAUUCUGAGAACCAGCAUGCUUGUCCACAUCACACUGCAGUUCAGGGGCUCAUGGUCCAGAGCCUGCACCUGCUUUUUGCGGCCUGAGUGUCCUGGGCCCUUUUUGGUCCCUAGGAUGGUUGAUGAGCAGGCCCAAUGGGUUUCUACUCCACGUGAGAAGUUGGCUCCUCCUCUCGAGACUCUGUGGGUGCUAGCUCAGCCUUGCCCUUUCCUCUCCCACUCCAGAAAGCACACUGGAUGCUUUUGCAAACUGCCCUCCCACCCUCAGAUUCUGAUAUGUCAUCCCCACUCUCCAGAAGAGAUCGAGAAUUGACCCUCCCUCAUCACCUUUCUUACUUUCCUCCUGAAAUCACGCAGGCAACUCUUAGCUAACCUACUCUUAGCUAACAGGGUGGAUUCUCAAACUCUCAAAAGGGUUUCUUCUCCAGUUAUUGGGGCUGGAGGACGCAAAAGGACCAAUUCUGUAGUUAUCUUCCCGUCAAAAUCAGAGGUUCCACCACUCAGUGAAUAGACGCGUCCUCGGUCUUUGGCUCCUACCAUUUCCCUUUUGUCUUUAUCUCACACUCCCUGGUUCACCUGCAGGCCCUUUGCCUCCCAUUUCCUCCUGUGAUUUCUAACCCAUGUGUAUAGACUAUUUCAGAGCUGUUUGGAAACUUAGAGGUCAAUACUGCACCCAACCCUGUGACCUGAUAUUAAGGAUGCAGGAAUCCAGGAAUAUGCCAGCUGAUGCUGGUGAGCAGAAGCAUCAGCCCCAGAGCCAGGACACAGUAUCCCAGCAAAGGCCCUUGUCCAUCUGCUUCUCUUCAGGGCUCCGCUGACCUUUCUCACCGGGCAGUCCUAACCCCAUGUCAUCCUGAGUAAAACUCAUAGCUUCGCUGAAAUAUGCCUGAGUUGUUCCGGUUCCUGGACAAUUGCCAAGGUCUUGAUCUUGGAUUCACUUCCUGGAUGAUUUUUCUUUUCUUUUUUUGCGACUCUUCCUGUGAUUGCUAAGAUCAUCAUUUCUCAGAUGAGGCUCAAGCAAAAAUUCAGCUGGACCAGAAUGGGCAGCUCCACAGUUUCCUCAGAGUCCCCAGGCCAGGCGAGCUCAGAGAGGAAUCAUUGCUUCAAUGCCUAGAAGCACUUCCUUAUCAGCAGAGCAAUGCCUUUCCCUUCUGGAAUGCUCUCCCAGACCCAGCCAAGCAGACUUCCUCCUCCAUCAAGGCACCCCAUAACUUCUUGAACGGAUUGAAAAGUUGAAAGGAUUCUUGCUAUCCUAUGAUACUUUUAGGCAAGAUUCAUUUCUUGCUUGAUAACAGAAAAUAAAGACCAUUUUUCUAGGUCGUCUCUCUCCAAAUAGACUAUAAAUGUGAACAGAAACUCAACAGAGGCCCCUUGGUAGCCAGUCAGGGCUGGCAAACCUCAGAUGGUUGGGUUUAUAGACUUGUUGGUUCAGGGAUCUGCUACACACCUACAGCCACUCACACUGAGUCAUCCACUUCUCUGCAGUGGGUGCUUCCUCCAGCACCUCACUGCCAGCAAGCUAAGCUCCCCAAGGCCUCUUGAAGCUGCCUGGGCACCACAUCAGGCCGGAAAAGCUCAGCUUCUUCAACCUUCUUCAUUUAGUGUGGCUGAACUUCUUCCACCCCUGACUCUUGGGUUACAGAACACCACUCUCUCCUGGUUCACAUGCCUGCCUGAGACAUCUUCCAGCUCCUCAGAUCCUGGGUGAACUCCUUAUCGACCUCUUUCCCCAUGGCUGAGUGGAUAGAUAAAGUAACAUUUUAAGUUAUCUUUUUUUUCUAAAGUCAUGUAUCUGGGAAAUUGGUAGGAACAGGGGAAGAAACUACUUAAGAUUGGCCCAAUCUUGUAGAAACAAGAUUUUAUUAGUAGCCAAGGAAAAGAGGUGGGUAGUGAUGGGGCUCUGGCCAAGCAACCCCGUGGGAGAUGGAAGUGGAACAGAAGGCAGUCUGGAGGGCAUGGGCACGCAUGUUGGUAUUCCUGCCACCAGAUACCUCUCCAAUAGGUCCUGCAUGCUGCCUGCAGCUCACCAAUCUGCCUACCCUUAGACAUGCAGCUUGUGUUUCCUUUAAAAGUGUCGAUUGAAUUUAUACCCCUCAUCUUCAAGGUUGGAAACGGGGGUGCUGAGCUAUGGCAUGGCUUACAAGAGCCACAUGAGCAGGUCCUGGUGGGGCUAGGGCAGGACUCCAGGCUCCCGAUUCCCAGCUGCUGUGCUGAUUGUGAACCCAGGGUCACUGUGGCCUCCAUGAUAGGAAAUGUUGUUACACCUGGCCAAGGGCCCUGGUCCUGUUCUCCUGCUCAAAGGCAGCCUUUCUCCAGCCCCAGACACCAAGCCAAGCUCCGCACUGAGUACAGUUUAGCACAUAGCAAAUGCCCACAGUGAUUCAUGGAAUGAGGGAAUGAAGGAGCAAGGCAUUCUCAGCAGUAGUGAUUGUGCCCUCAGGGGAUGAAAAUUGGAUCUUGGGCAAAUGUGAAAAAAAAAUCUCACCCACAGUAUAUAAUUGUACACACACACAGAGAAAGAAAGAAUGUAAAUGGAUACAGAGUUUAUCUGCGGCAUUAAAAUUUCAUAGGGGAGUGAUUAGCACAAAAUAUCUAACAAGACUCCUGGGGGAGUCCAUGAUGAAAUAAUAAAAGAGAGGUUAAGAAACACAGGAAUACAGGCUCUGGAGACCAGGUUAGAAUCUCUCCUCCAUCUCUUUCUAGCUGGGUGAUCUUGGAUAACUUAUAUCAACUUUCUUUACCUCAGUUUCUCCCUCGGUCAAAUGAGAAUGAAAAUUCUACUCACCUCAGAGGCUAUUGUGAGGACUCCAUGAGAUCAUCCAUGGGAAGAGUUUGGCUCAGUAUCUCUGCGUACAUUCACAACCAAUAUUAGAUACAAUAAUUAUUAAGAUGGCUGAAAAUGAGAGAGUCUUCCCACUAACGUGAUAACGUCAUGGGAAUCAGGACUCCUGUGGCAGAGAAAACAGAACUACCAAUCGUUGCAAUGGCCAUUACCCUACAGGCAAAAGAGACCUGCUCAGUGCUAAGUAUUGGAAUUGGAUCUCUGAUUUCAACCACCCAGCUCCCAUCUACCACCCACUCAGCUACCACCCUCCACCUACCUGAGCAAGGUGCCAGCUGCUUUGUUGGAUAGUAAGUUGCACAAAGCUCUUAAGGGACUUACAGACCUAAAGGGAGACAGGAAACUCUAUUCUUUUUCCUUUUCUUUGAAGCAGGGUCUUGCUUUGCUAUCAGGCUGAAGUGCAGUGGUGCAAUUACAGCUCACUGCAGCCUCAACUUCCUGAACUCAAGUGAGCCUCUUGCCUCUCAGCCUCUUGAGUAGCUGGGACUACAGGUACAUGCCACCAUGCUCUGUAAUUUUGUUCAUUUAAAUUAUUGUAAAUAUUAGAUCUCACUAUGUUGCCCACACUGGUCUUAAACUCCUGGGCUCAAGGUAUCGCCCCACCUCAGCCUCCCAAAGUGCCUGAGAUUACAGGUGUGCACCACCGCACUUGGUUAGAAAGUCUAUCCUCACUGGAAAAACAGCCUAAUCAAAGCCAGUGAGUCUCAAACUUUAACUUGUAUAGCAAUCACCUGGGAAUCCUUUUAAACUUUAGACCUGAUUCAGUCCAUCUAGAGUUGGAACGGAGAUUUGACAUUUCUGACAAGCUCCAGGUGAUACCAAUGCCACUGGUUUAAGCCACAGUUUAAGGAGUGAAGUGUGGAAGGAGCUGCUCUUUUCCAGUUUGCAAACUGGGGAAAUGGUGUUUUCCUUUCUCUGCUGAUGGCUGCAUAUUAUCUUGACACCUGAUGGGGUCCACAGUAAAGGGUCUAAAAAAUGUCACGCUGCGUAAAUUAUGGAAGAAAAUCUUCAAGGAGUGUUCAUCCUGCAACCAGGACUCACAGUGAGUCUCUGAAUAUUUUGAACACUGUGUUACUGUGAGAUCACUUCAGUGCUCCGGCCGGAUCACAUGACUAUACUUGUCUUUUAUGAUCAAAAUACAUAGGAGGAGAAAGGGGGAAAGAGACAGAGAGAAAGAAAAACAAGGGGAGGAGAGGGAAAGAGAAGGAUCACUGAAACACAGCUUCCUAACUUCCUUUUGGAAACAGCCUAAGGUAGCCAUAAUUUCUUCUGGAAGAAAUGACUGAGAGAAUAUAAAUGGGAAUGUUUUAUAGAGGAAGCCCUAGGAGGACAGAAUAUUUGAAACCAGGCCAGCAUAAUCACACAGUGUCUAGGGAUCUCAUUCUAUCACUAGAUUCGACUUUUUAGUAGAAUUCAAGUAAUGUUUAUGGAAUAUCUUAGAAUCAUUCAGAGUAUAAGAUUAGGAGACAAGAACCAGCAGCCCGUAGAUGUCAAGAAGCAGAAUUUUUUUUUUUAAUUAUGCAUUUAAGGAGCAGUUUCCUCAGGAGAAGCCUAACCUGUUAGCACAUAAAGAUGUGGCACCUUGGACUGUUCAGAGAACGAAGUUGUGAGUGUGCUUGGCUUAUGGAUUUGUUCUUUGAUCUGCCCCGACUGACCUGAGAGCUUGUUAUGGUUUGAAUGUGUCCCUCAAAGUCCACGUGGUGAAAACUUAAUCCUUCAUGCAACAGAGAAUUAAGAUGGGACCAUUAAGAACCGAUUAGUUCAUGAGGGUUCUGUCCUCAUGCUUGGACUAAUCAUAUUAUUGAGGGAGUAGUUUCCUGAUACAGAGCAAGAGUUUCUCCCCCUUUCUGUCUUGCUCUCUUGCACCCUUUCACCUCCUGCCAUGGGAUGAACAGCAUGAAGGCCCUCACAAGAUGCCAGUGCCAGGCACCUUGACUUCCCAGCCACCAGACUGUAAGCCAGUGAAAUAUCUGUUUAUUAUAAAUUACCCAGUCCCUGUGAUGCUGUUAUAGAAGCACAAGACAAAGAUAGGCCUCUUAGAAGAUUCCUAUCCUAUCUCACACAACGAUUCUUGCUUAAUUCAAAUGACAACUAGAAGUACCCAAGUGCUGAGUGCAUUAGAACCUAUGGUCUAGCCAACAGGUGAGCCUCCUUGGGAUGGUGCGUAAAAGUGGGACAGUUGUGGGGAUUGGUGAGGAAGAUUUUCUUGAGUGGGGAUUGUGAAUUGAUUUAAAUGUAUCCUUGAGGUUGUAGAGUCAGAGUGUCUGGGUUAGAAGCACCACAGUGUCUGGUGCAUCAUUUAUGAUCCCUGUGACACUGGCCAGGUUUCUUCAUCAAAUGAAACAAACAUAUGGGAUUAAAAUAAUACCCAUUUACUAAACAAGUAAGUAUUCUGUAGGAUGAAGCAUGCAAAGAAGUUAGCAUAAUAUUUGGGACAGAGUGAGUGCUUCAAAAUGGUAGUGAGUACAUUUAGGAAGUACCCAAGUUGUGGGUUAGGUGGGGAGGGGGGAACUAAGCUUAAGGAAAGAGCUAAGCACUUAAAAAGUUGUUUUUCUUUUAAAAAUUUUUUUUGAAAUUAUUUAUAUAUUUUUAGAUGGCAUCUCGCUCUGUUACCCAGGCUGGAGUGCAGUGGUGCAAUCAUGGCUCACGGCAAUCUCGACUUCCUAGGAUCAGGUGAUCCUCCCACUCAGCCUCCCAAGUAUCUGGGACCACAGGCACAUGCCACCACACCUGGGUAAUUUUUGUGUUUUUUUGUAGAGUCUGGCUUUCACCAUGUUGCCCAGGCUGGUCUUAAACUUCUGGGCUCAAGAGAUCUACCUGCCUCAGCCUCCCAAAGUGCUAGGAUUAUAGGCAUGAGCCAUUGUGCCUGGCUGCAAGUUGUUUUUCUAGCAAUGCCUUCCUUCCUGUGCAUAGAACCAAAUUCAAGCCCUGACUCUUGGCCAUAAAUACAGGCAUGAGCCACCGCACAGGCUUCUUGCCCACUUCUCACCUGCCCAGGCUUCUUGCCCACUUCCCACCAGGAAAGAAGCCAGUGUAGCCACUUCUGAGGCCCUCCUGCAAGAGCUCUGGAAAUGCAUGGCCCUUGCUUUUGAGUUUCCCAGGAUCUCCAUCUUUUCCAAAGUGAUUAUAUCUUUACUGUUUAUUUUUGUUUUUUUUUAAUAAUAAAAAUGAAACUUUACAUCUUUCCAAAUUAAUUACUCUUCUUUGUCAUUGGGUGUGUUUUUACUUGUGUUGAAUUUCAUCUUACCGAUGGGUCAUAAUUUCUAUAACUAUUCUCCCCCUGAGGGGUUGCAAUAUUCUAAAUAGAACAUAUAAGAACAUCUUGAUGCAGAUUAUCCUUUUCUUUUUUAAAGCAGCAUUAUUGAGAUAUAAUUGAUAUACCACACAGUUCAUCCAUUUAAAAUGUACAAUGUAAUGGUAUUUAAUGGAACAAAGCUUUGCAACCAUCACCACAACUAAUUUUGGUACAGCUUCAGUACCCUAAAAAGAAACUUCAUGCCCAUCAAGAUCCACUUUAUUCUCCCCAUCCCUCUCAGUCUUAAGCAACCACUGUUUUAUUUUCUGACUCUAUAGAUAUCCCUGUUUUUGAAAUGUCCUAAUAAGUGGAAUCACAUAAUAUUCCAAAAGCCCAUUUCAUUUCAUGGUCUUCUGCAAAUGCCUUCUUUCACUCAGUAGAAUAUUUUCUAGGUUCAUCCACAUCGUAGCGUCAGUACUCCAUUUUUUUAUAUCACCAAAUAAUAUUUCAUUGCAUGGAUAUACCACAUUUCAUUUAUCCUUUCGUCAGCUGGUGGCCAUUCGGGUUGUUUCCACUUUGUGACCAUUAUGAAUAAUAAUGCUGCUAUGAGCAUUUGUGUACCAGUUUUUGUGUAGGUACAUGUUUUCAUUUCUGUCGGGUCCACUACAUAGUCUUAAUCAGGCAUUGCUCUCUGUGGUUUCACACUUGUUCUUUUUUUGCUGGACUCACGAUCUCCCACUCCACCACAAAUCUGUUCCUCCUUCAGUGCACACUGCAGGGUCUACCACCUAGCCUGUUGCACAAGCCAGAAACUUACACGUCACCCUUUGCACCUUCCUCGGCUCCUCAUCCUCCACCCUGCUACAGCCCAUGUCUAGUCCAGUUGCAACUCAAAUAGAAGUAUUUCCCAGAGAAGCUUUGCUGAUAGAAUCAAUCAGGUCAUUCAUUCUUUACAUGCUUUACCCCUCUGUUUAUGUUUGUGGGAUUAUUUGAUUAAUAUCUGUUUGCUCACAGUUUUAGCUCAAGUGCUUAGCAUAGUGCCUGGUUUGUGGCAAGGCACGUAAACUUUUCAAGAUUGACUAUGCAUCCCACUCCCUUUACAACAUCUCACAGCUUCCAAUACACUAGCAUUGUCAGUAAAAGUUUGUUUUUUGAACUGCUUUUAUUUCACAAUUUUUAAAUUGUUACUUAUGUGCAGUAAAUGCACCCUUUUUAGAGUAUCAUUCUGUGUCUUUUGACAAAUGCAUGCAGUCCCGUAAUCACUACCACAAUUAGGAUACAGAAUCGUUCAUCAACCUUAAAAUUUCCCUGUGAUCCUUUGCAGUCAAUCCCUCCCCCUAAUCCUGUCCCCUGAAAACCUCUGACUUUUCUUUCACUUAGCAUAAUGCAUUUGUGAUUCACCCAUGUUCUUGCAAAAGUUUAUCCCCUCUUGUGUUGUAACAUUCCAUUGUAUAGAUGAAUUAUAGUUUGUUUAUUUAUUCCCCAGUUGAAGAAUAUUUGCGGUUUUAGUUUUUGGCAAUUACGAAUAAAGUCAGUAUAAAUAUUCAUGUACAGGUUUUUGUGUAAACUAAGUAUUUGAUUUUACUUGGAUAAAUACCUAGGAGUGGAACUGUUUGUUCUUAUGUUAGGGGUCUCUAUCUUUAUAAGAAACUAUCAAACUGUUUUCCAAAAUAUUGUAUCAUUUUGAGUGUGUGGGUCCCACUUGCUCUGCAUCCUUGCAACACUUUGUAUUGAGAGUUCUUUAUCUACUUUCUCUGGAUUCAAGUCGUUGAUCAGAUAUGUGAUUUGCAAAUUGCUUUUUCCAAUCUCAGACUUGCUUCAUUCUCUUUAUAAUAUCUUUCAAAGAGUAGAAGUUCUUAAUUUUGAUGAAGACCAAAAUUCAUCAAUUUCUCUCCUUCUCUGGAACAUGUUUUUGGUAUCGUUUCUAAGAACUCUUUGCCUAAACCAAUUCAUGGAAUUUUUCUCCUGCAUUUUCUUCAAGGAAUUCUAUAGUUUGCGGUUUUAUAGUUGGGUCUUUAGGCCAUCUUAUUUCGCUUUUAUUUUGUGAACUUUUUCAUCUACUUUAAGCCUCAAAUCUAGUCUAUUAGUUACCUACCUAUGUUGCCUUCCAGACUUCAAACUUCUUUCUUUCUCUCUCUCUCUUCCUUCCUUCCUUCCUUUCUUUCUUCUUUCUUUCUUUCUUUUCUUUCUCUUUCUUUUUUUCUUUCUUUUCUUUCUUUUUUUGACAAGAGUUUCACUCUUGUUACCCAGGCUGGAGUGCAAUGGCGCGAUCUCGGCUCACUGCAACCUCCGCCUCCUGGGUUCAGGCAAUUCUCCUGCCUCAGCCUCCUGAGUAGCUGGGAUUACAGGCACGCACCACCAUGCCCAGCUAAUUUUUUGUAUUUUUAGUAGAGACGGGGUUUCACCAUGUUGACCAGGAUGGUCUCGAUCUCUUGACCUCAUGAUCCACCCGCCUCGGCCUCCCAAAGUGCUGGGAUUACAGGCUUGAGCAACCGCGCCUGGCUCUUUUUUCUUUUCUUUUCUUUCUUUCUCUCUCUCUCUCUCUUUCUUCUUUUUCUUUCUUUCUUUAUUUCUUUUGAGAUGGAGUUUCGCUCUUGUUGCCCAGGCGGGAGCACAAUGGCAUGAUCCUGACUCACUGCAACCUCCAUCUCCCAAGUUCAAGCGAUUCUCCUGCCUCAGCCUCCUGAGUAGCUAGGAUUACAGGUUUGCACCACCACACCUGGCUAAUUUUGUAUUUUUAGUAGAGAUAUGGUUUGUCCAUAUUGGUCAGGCUGGUCUCGAACUUUCGACCUCAGGUGAUCCACCCUCCUUGGCCUCCCAAAGUGCUGGGAUUACAGGCAUGAGCCACCGCGCCUGGCCCUUCCAAGCUCUUUGAGGGAAGAGAUUGUGUUUUAUCACAUAAGCCCUAGAGUAAGCAUUGCCUUACAUUUUGAGCCUACACACCUCAAUUGCUCCCAUAGUCCCAGCCUGUGUUCAUGUUCCUAUUUUCUACAACACCCAGCGUCACACCUCUCACUUUAGAUACAGUACAGAUGUUACUGAAAAGAAAUGAGACCUUAGAAAGGCUUUAGGGCUCUGUAUCCCAUUGAGAAUUAAGACAAAUUAGCAUAACUAGGAAACAUCAUUUGUGGUCAUGCAAAGGCACUGACUGUAUGAGGCACACUUCCCAUGUGCAGACACUUGAACAACCCCUGCUAGCUCAGACCUCCAGAAAGUUCUUUUAUUCUACGUCGCCUUUUUUUUUUUUUUGAGACAGAGUCUCGCUCAGUCGCCCAGGCUGGAGUGCAGUGGUGUGAUCUCAGUUCACUGCAAGCUCCAAUCCCUGUGCUCAAGCCAUUCUCCUGCCUCAGCCUCCUAGGUAGCUGGGAUUAUAGGCACACGCCACCACGCCUGGCUAAUUUUUGUAUUUUUAAUAGAGGUGGGGUUUCACCAUGUUGGCCAGGCUGGUCUUGAACUCCUGACCUCAGGUGAUCUGCCCUCCUCAGCUUUCCAAAGUGCUGGGAUUACAGGCAUGAGCCAGCGCGCCUGGCCUCUAUGUUGCCUUCUUAUAACAGUGUUUAUCGAUUACCUGGAAAACAUGACUGAUGAGUUAUGUGAUUAACCAAAGUGCUCUGAUAGUGUAUUUUAAAAAUCUGAAACCACAUUCAGGUAGAAGGUAGCAGUGGAAACAGGAGUCAUGUGUGAGCUCCAAAAAUGGAAAGACAAUUUUCUAUCCUCAGUCAGAGUAGGGCCAGAUAUGAAAAGACAAGGGCCGUUUUUUCAGGAGCAAUUUUUUCCUACUUGCAUUUGUUUCUUCCCAAUAUGGAUGAGUUUUCAUGGAACAUCCACUUCCUGGCUGCUUGGAGAGAAGGGAAGGGGGCUUUCUCCAUUCAAGGGUUUCAGAUUCAGAGAUUCAAAGAAAAGCCCAUUCUCUCUGGAAGCUGACUUCCUGACCUGUUUUCAGAACAUUUUACAGGGGUUAUUCCUGGGUCAGCCACAGAGAAAGAGAGGCAUCCUUGGACAGCAAAGCUACAGAUCCGGAAGCCUUUGGCUAUCUUUAGAGAAGGGCAGAGAGCUCUUCACUUCUCCAAGUGUGUUAGGAGAUGCUUUCUCGUGCCUCUGCUUGGGCAAAGAAAAAAAUGGCCAAAGAAGGACAAAUCUAUUUCUUACCACUGGAAAGGCCUUUUAACACUUUUUUCUAGUAAGAGAUGGGGUUUUGCUAUGUUGCCCAGGUUGGAGUGAGUGGCUAGUCACACGCACGCUCCCACUACUGAUCAGCAUGGGAUUUUUGUCUCACUCCACUUCUGAUAUGGGCUGGUUUACCCCUCCUUUGGCAGCUUGGUAGUCCCUCCUUUCUGGAGUUCACCAUAUUGAUGCUGAGCUUAGUAUGGAUAUCCAUUCAGCACAGUGGACUACAGCCCAGAACUCCUGGGCUCAAGCCACUUUCCCACUUCAUCCUUCUGUGUAGCCAGGACUGCAGGACUACAGUUGGGCGCCACCACACCCAGCUGGAAAGAGCUGAAAGAACUUCAAAGCUUUGACAGAACAUUUUUUUUUUGAUGGAGUCUCACUCUAUUUCCCAAAAUGCAGGGCAGUGGCGCCAUCUCAGCUCACUGCAACCUCCAUCUCCGGGUUCAAGCGAUUCUCCUGUCUUAGCCUCCUGAGUAGCUGGGAUUACAGGAGAAGCCAGCUGACCCUUGCUCUUAUCUGAUGGGAUUGUAACUGGCAUCAACAUUUUCUAGCUUUUCAUUAAGAAGCUAUGUUUUAAGACAAUAGCAGGAACGAAAGAACCUAUUCUUUUUGUGCCAGCAUCCGUCCAGCUUAGAACAAAAUGUUAUUCAUGGCCAGGCUCCACCUUGCUGAGAAAGCCUGGUAUUUGUCUUUGCAGACAGUCCUUUUGACAUCCUCAGAAAGCCUUGUGGAGACCCCAGAGAGCUUAACUACCUUAGGAGGAAGGUGGCAUUUGGACUUGAUGGGAGGGGGCUACCCACCUGUCAGCGGGCCUCUCCCAGUCUUGGUUUGCCCUUCCCAGAUUCAACAAAAUAAUCUGCCUAGAGUGUUUAGCCCAGCACCUGGCACUUGGAGACCUGCAAAGAAUGUUCACGGCUGCUGCCAUCAGACCACACUCUUCUUAGCAUCUGGACUCAGAUACCUGGGCGUCUGAAUAUGGCUAGCUCCGGGGCUAGAAGCUGCUGAGGCUCUGCCCUGCCUCCAGCCCCUUCGGGAUACUCUGCGAGGGCCCACAGCUAACAUAUGCUAGGGGCAAAGCAGGAACAGCCUCUGCUCUGAAGGGGAGGCUUCCCAAGCCAACUUUUUUCUUUUUAUCUGAUGGGAAGGGCUGACUUAAGAGCCAGCAGCAGGGGACAGCACAAAUAAAUACAGAAAAAUCUCUUCAGGAGGUGCGAUUGUGCUCAGCUCAAUGGCAAGCCCUGGAGAGCAGUUUUAUCCAGUGGAGAUUGGAAAGUAAAAUAAAUGUGGUCCUAUUACCCACCCUUCCGCAGAGCCGACUCGCUACAGCCUAUCCCUGAGCUCUGCCGGAGUAGAAGGAACGUGUGUUUCAGAGUCCUGGUCUCCUGUGGGGAAGAAGGUGCAGAAGUGGGUUCUUAGGGCUGAGAUUCCCUGAAGCUUUGGGUGCUAUUUUCCCACCCACCCUGGCUUUCUAAGACGCUGCCAGCUCCAAGUCCCCGCCCUUCCCAGUGCUUUCUCGCCCACAGUGGGCCACCUCCAGCAGGGUGGGACUGACAGAAACACCCCAGCAAUGAGCUGGGGUUAGAGUAGCCUUCUUCCAGCAAUGGGCAAGAGGGGCUGGGGAGGACUGGUGCCUCUCUCCCGCUAACGAAAUGUCCCCCAAUACUCUCAGGACCAGCAGCUCAGCUUUUACAGCCUUUGGUUCCUUCGAAGUGAGUCAUACCAUUGAAAAGAUCUUUCUGGAACAAACACCACCUUUCAUGGGAACAAGUCUUAGCUCUUCCACAGGGAGUGUUUCUAAGCAUCCCUGGAGGAGACUACAACAAUCCUCCUCACCCAGGAAACCCUCGGAGCAGCUAAGCCCCAACCUGGAACCUUUGGAUGCUUCAUUUGAGGAGUCUGCCAUGCUGGAUGGCCACAGUGCUGUGGGGACACCUGUGCCCCUCUCUGCAUAAUACUUGCCCAUCAGCAGAGUUAAGGACUGGAGAGACCGGGGUUUGAAUCUCAGUCCCACCACUCAGAGACAGUCUCUCUGGGUCUGUUUGGAAGCAACCUAAGGAAUAUAUGAAAGAAACCAUAGAACAUGCUUAGUUCAGGGCUGGGCAAACAGAACGUACGACGUGAGAGCUACUUCAUUAAUAAAAGCCAUUUUUGUAUGAUGCAGGCUCUUGUUCUGCAGAAAUUCUCAUGAUAAUCUUUUAAGGGUCAGGUCCUCUAUGCUCCGCCACCUCCUUGAAGCAUCGUACAGAAGAAAUGCCUUUGAUAAAGCUGCCUGGGAGAGAGCAAGCAUGGGAUGUUCUGGGAGCUUGCAGUGGUUUGGCGAGAUCUGAAGGCAGGGCAUGAGAGGCAGUUGAGCAGUGGGUGGGGCAAGAUCCUUUCACUCCCAGCAAAGAUUAGCUGACUAAAGUCUAGCAACUGAAGUGAGGCAGGGGUCAACUUCCACUGAAGAGGUGGCCACCAGAGCCAAAUGCCACAGAGAGUUCAUAAGGACUGGAGAUGACCCCUAGCUCUGGUAAUUAUGGACCACAGCGGGGACACUCUCCCACGGUGAGAAGAACACAGACCUUGAGCUGAGCUCUCCUGACCUGUUUUCCAUGGUGGUGAACUAAACAUGCCUACCGUCUUGACAAUAACCUGUAUCCCACUUCCAGGGGAGGGUCAUGUGAAUACCAGUGUGACUGGGUCCUGGACAGGCUCAGCAGACACAGAGCAAAAGGCAGGCUGUGGUUGGAGUGGACCAGCUUGGACAUAGAUCCUUGUGUCUUCUGGCAACCCUAAAAUCUUGGCAGUGAAGGUAACAAGGAAGUUAGUAUCCACAGUUUCUUCAUGUAAAGUUUGAUAAUGCAGAGGAUGCCCAAAAUUGGAAGGAUGCUUUUCUCCUACUGCAUUCUAGCUUCCUACUAAAAAAUGGCCCAUUCACAGUGGCUCAGAGCUUCAAACCUCCUCAAACCCCCAGCUCUGUCCAAAUGAUGGGACUACACCUGCCGUGUCACAAAUCAAAUCAAGCAUCCAUGACACAGCACAGUGUAACGUCUCUACUAACCAUUUCUUUCCUUUAGUCGCUUGGUCAACGUGGUCUAGGCUGUUGCAUGCACAGUCCUGGAAUAUCCCGCUGUUAUUUGUUGCAUUUUCCCACCUACAUGACAAAAAUGCAUUCCUACAGCUUUGGGCUCGUUCUGAUGUUGUUUUGGUUAUUGGAAGUUGCGUUGGUGCUUUCUAAAAUGAGGUCAACCUUCCAAGGGAACCAGAGAAGGCGAAAUGAAACAGGAAUGGAGGCGUGUACGAAGAAAGCACACAACUUUAUUCACGAAGUUGUGAGGAUGACAGUGAUGCAGAGUAUAUGACAAAGGAGUGCAGUGAGUGCUGCUUGCAACAGGAGCGGGGAGCAGGUCAGGGUCACAGGCACAGCAGCGUGGAGCUGGCAGGGCCACCUUCUCCUCUGCACACAAGCACGUGGCACUCGGCGUGCCAACACACACCUGCUCAGUUUCAUGGGGAACACAACACAGCUUUUCAAAGGGAAUUCUUCUAAAUAUUUGCUUUCAUAUUUCCGAAAAGGGAGGGAGGGCAGGAAGAACUAUACGCCUUCCAACAUUUGAAAAUAUUCCAUAAACCCAACUUAAAAAUGAAAGAGCUCAGAGAGCUUCAAUGCAGAGCUGUCAGCAACUCACAGGAACCACACACAUCAUUGGACAAGUCUGUACAUAAAACCCCAAAAGAACAAGAGUUUUGCGGACCAUGGUUUCCUCUGCUGUAAAGAAACAUACGCACACAUGAUCAGUAAGCAGCUCACAUCUUCCUGAAUGUCAAGAUCAUCUCCGUCCACCUUUGGUCACUGGGGUCAGGAAGUGACUCAUGGGAACUGGACUCUUUGGAGAAACACUUUGGGGAAGAAUUUUAUUGAAUAACAACUGCCACUCAAUUAUACUAAGCUUCAGAAAUUGUUGGAUUUGUUUAAUUUUGCUGUGUAUGUAUUCAUUGCUUAGAACGUUUCUUUCGGCUUAAACUGACCAUUUCCCCCUUUCUUUUUGAGUUUUGCAUGAUUAAACUUGCCCAAAUAAAAACAUAACAAUCCAUAUGCAAAGCGUAUCUGUCACCACCUCCCACUGCUUCCUGGGCAGCAA